rnacentral:snoRNA from 1 species
AGUGCUUCAUGAUGAGACACCACACAGCAUUCUGUAAUGCCAAUUGUCAUAGUUACUCUGAAGGCAC